rnacentral:lncRNA from 1 species
CUUUAGGUAGUUGUACUUUCGCAGAUGAGAAGCCCAUUUCGCAGAUGAGACCUUCUCAUCUGCGAAAUGGGUGGCUAUUUUUGUAAUCUUGAUUUUUUUUGGCUAUUUUUGUAAUGCAAUUAGUGUAAUUGGCUAUUUUUGUCAUUUUCUCAUUUUUUUUUUCUUUGGAGGCUCAAGCUCAUAAUUUCCUUGAUUUGUAUUUUAUACAAUGCUCACAUUACUAUAAUAUCCUCAAUCAAGAGAAAAGAAAGGCAACCUGCCCUCAACAAGUUUAAAGAGCUUAGACAUUGUAUCAAGGGUGGCACAUUGCCGUGAAUAAUCCAGGAACAUGCCAUCAAAACUCGCUACAUAAACCCCAAAUGAAAAGAACUCAUCACCCUCUUAGCUCAAAAAGUUAGUAAUCAAUGAAGAAUCACAUAGUUCUUAUCUAUAAAGAAUAGAUGGAGUAAUUUACAACUAGAGAUGACAAUUCUUUGAAAUAUUCAAGUAAACUUUUUAGUCUAACAAAUUACAAAAAGACCCAACAAUCAGAACAUAUGAUCCACAAUCAAUAACUUUAUUCCAAAAUAAUCCCAGCAAUUAGAAAGUGCAAUUCCAUUUGAUAGAUUGACAGUCGAUUUUUUCAGAACAAAGAAAACUAAAAGAUGUGAACAGUACCUGUAAACAAAUUAAGCAAACAUAAAGUGUGAUGUUAAGCAGUUCAGAAAGGAAGAACGAGAAUGAGAAAUGAAUUCCACCUUCUGGACGAGAAGCGAACAUCAUCAGACGGAGAAGCAGACCUGCGGACCUGCAAUUGGUCUUUUCAACAGCAAUAUUUGAUUAAUGUGAAGCUGAUUGCAGUUGGUGUGAUUGAUAUUCUUCUUAAAUGUUAAUCCUGUAAAUAAAUUGGGCGAGAGAGCAACGAGAGCUGCAUGCGGAGUAGAAGUAACAAAUGAUUUUCGAUACAGCAAUGAUUUCGGAUACAAAACACAAGAAAGAGGUCAGAAUAUACCUUAUCGAACAGAGAUGUAGAGAGAAACGAGAACUGCGGGCGGAAGCGCCAACCUGCUGUGCGUCUGGUACUUUACUCAGUUACCGACAAUUGCUUUCAUUGAAGUAUGAACAAGAACAGCAGAGAAAUGAGAAUGGAACGAUUAGGGUUAGGUCGUCGAUUCUUGACUUCUUCUCACGCCUAGACUCUUGGAAUGAAAAUGCCCAAAUUGGCAGACUCCAAUCGAAGACUUCACAAUUGGGCUUCACAGUUCACAAAACUAAGUAACAAACUAACUGGGUUGUGUAAUUAAAUGGGUUAUGGG